GCCGAGAUAGCUCAGGGGUAGAGCAGCUGUUUCGUAAACAGCAGGUCGUCAGUUCAAAUCUGAUUCUCGGCU
rnacentral:tRNA from 1 species